rnacentral:lncRNA from 10 species
GUGGGAUUUCACCAUGUCAGCCAGGCUGGUCUCAAACUCCUGAUCUCAGGUGAUCCGCCCACCCCAGCCUCCCCAAGUGCUAGGAUUACAGGUGUGAGCCACCAUGCCCAGCCUCAGACUAGUCUUUUAGAUCCUGGUAAAUAUACUCCCUGAAAUGAGACUAUCACAAGGACCACAAAAAGGGCCCAAGUUCCUCAACAAUAUCCCGCCUUUGGCUGCCCCCAUCACUUUGAGUAAUAUUUAUAACAAAAUGCAGGAGCGGGUAUAUACAUUCACUGGCAUAAAAAGACUACUCCCAGGCUGGGCACGGUGGCUCAUGCCUGUAAUCCCAGCACUUUGGGAGGCUGAGGCAGGCAAAUCACGAGGUCAGGAGUUCGAGACCAGCCUGGCCAGGAUGAUGAAACCCCAUCUCUACUAAAAAUACAAAAAAUUAGCUGGGCAUGGUGGUGUGUGCCUGUAAUCCCAGCUACUCAGGAAGCUGAAGCAGGAGAAUCACUUGAUCCCAGGAGGUGGAGGUUGCAGUGAGCCGAGAUCACGC